rnacentral:rRNA from 1 species
CGCGUACUCUUGUGAGGCCUUCUGAAAGGAAGAUUAAUACAAGAUGGCAUCAUGAGUUCACAUGUUCACAUGAUUAAAGGUAUUUCCGGUAGACGAUGGGGAUGCGUUCCAUUAGAUAGUAGGCGGGGUAACGGCCCACCUAGUCUUCGAUGGAUAGGGGUUCUGAGAGGAAGGUCCCCCACAUUGGAACUGAGACACGGUCCAA